GGCCAGAUAGUUUAAUGUAAGAAUAAGAGUUUUGUAAUCUUUAGGUGCUUUGGUUGAAAGUUUUGGCCA
rnacentral:tRNA from 1 species